CAGCAUAUGAAGGUCAACACCAAACGUCCACUCAAAGAGUUCUGACAACGCAGUAAGGACUAAGAGUGACAGUGAAGAUGCUUUCAAAUUGAGGCAGUAGAAGGUGGUGUCGGAGCUCAUGGAUGCAGAGGUGACAGUUGUUCAUUUUCUGCUGAUUGCCACUGGGAGCAUUUAAGCAGGAGGCUGCCAGCAGUUCACCGCCUGAGUGUUAGCCAACAGUGCUUGCUUUCAAGCCCUGGCUCCGUUUCCAGUACAAUUCCUGACUUCAGGAUUAAGUGGGUUUCCUUAUUCCUGGGUUAAAAACCUUCUGAGUCAAGAUUCAAGCCUCCAGUACCUUCUUCGGACAAACUUCAAGCUGGCAGCUUCCUGGCUCCACGAUCAACCGGCCCUAAUCAUAAGCAAGCCCUGUCCACCCUCCAACGUGCUCUCGUGCAAGUACCUCCACCCGGCGCUCCACACCACCAUCUCACACACUUGUGCUUGACAGGACUUUCCAAGAACCUCCUUCAAGUCUCCUAAGACUAACCUACCUUCGAUUACUUACCUCCUCAGUCAUCUCUGGUCCUGUGCUCCCAGACUCCACAUCUC